rnacentral:lncRNA from 1 species
GAUGGCCACUGACCGUUUGCCGAAAGUACAUAGUAAUCGAUUUAGUAUCGAAGAGAAAAAGCAGCAUUAACUUUUCUCGUAUUUUUAACUUAAAACGCUUAGUGAGUUCACCAGAUGUUGUUUAGUCCUGCUCACACAUCAAAUCGUGGUGGAGAAGUGGCAGAAAAACCACCCACAAUGGAAAAGUGUACUCAGGCACGUGAACAAGCGCCAUCAUCAGCUCCCAUUGCUAGGGGUCCAGUCAUAAAUAUAAAUGCCCAGCAAUUUAAAGAUGUUGUCAAUUCUCUUGGAUUUGUGGAUAGAACCUUCUUGCUGAAGGAAUGGUUGGUGUGUGAUAAUAUGGGAAUUAUGAAUGUGAUGAUCUUUGCACCAACAAAGUUUGGGAAAAUUAUCAACCAGACUAUGGCACAUCUGCUUCUUGAUAUUGAACAUGAUGAUGUAAGUGGAACACCCAAAUGAGAUAUUAGCAAAGCACCAACAAAAGAACUGGAUGCAUCAGAUGCCAUGGCAGUUUUUUGUCACUAUUCGCAAGAUGACUCCUCGAAGUGGUGCAACAUCAUGAAAGAGGAAGAGACAAAGUUUGUUGAGGACCACUUUGGUAGGCAUCCAGUGGUUUUCUUGAACUUCAAGAACUGUUCAUGUGAAUUAGAACUAAAGUAAUAUUGCAGUGUGCAAAGUUAGUAUAUAAUGGUUAUUUAAACCAUGACUAUCUUGGAUUCAGCACACAACUUAAAACUGAUAAUAAUCAAGUUACUGAGAGAUGCCUGUCAAAGUUGGUGUAGCUACAGUGAUGAAGACCUUAAGAAACUGGAUCAAUAUGAUGUGACUGAAGAUAUGGAAAACUUGAUUAAGAGCCUGGAGAAAUAUUUGGGCAGAAACCCAGUGCUCCUGGUAGAUGAAAUCAACAAGCCUAUUGUAAAUGCCCCGGAACAGAAGGUUGAAAAAGAUAAUUUAUGUGACAUAGGGAAAGUUAUCACAAGUGUGAUAUUUUUUGGUUAUCAAAACAGAAGAUGCAGAUUUGAAGCUGGAGGCAGCUUUGGUCACUGGCAUCUCAAAAGUGUGGUUGGAGCAGGCCUUUCACCUCUGGACAAUAUAACAGACAUUUAUUUUUUGAGCGCUACUUGAUUUUUCUGGUAUUACGGGAUGACGAACGAUGAAACUGACAGCCUUGCGAAUGAAUUGUUCAAGUCAGGGGAAAGAAGAAAUUGCCAAGAUAAGUCACCAUAUCAAAGAGCACUACAAUUGCUACUAUUAGUUAGACUAUUUUGGAAUGGCAAUAAGUUCUGAGAAUCCACAUGCUAGAUAUAGCCUGUUCUCUGUCCUCAGCUACAUUAAUUAAACAGAGACUUGAAAAUAAGGAGAACUCCAACUUCUGUUUUUCGAAGGAAGGAGGUCUGCUAAGGCACCUUGUGGCCAUAAUGAGAAAAUCCGAAGACAUCAAUUGUUGUAUCUACACUCUGCUGUUUGAUGAUACUCAUAGUUUACGGAUCAUCUACAAGAAGGACAUUGAUGCCGUGGAGCUUCGUGGUGUACAAGGAGGAAAAACAGGCUCAUCAAGACAAAUGUUCAACUUUUUAUUGCAUCAAGGUUUUCUAGCAAUAGAUCCAACCAAAGGAGUUCAUAAGGAAAAUCAAAUGAUGAUAGCUUACAUGAGGAUCCCAAAUAUCAAAGUUGGAGCUCUAUACAAGAACAUGUUUUCUUCUUAUGAAAAAGAGUUACCUGAGGAUGUACUGACUUCAUUUGCUAAAUGUAGAGAAUUCCUUCGUGACAUAUCUAAGAAAUUAAUCACAUCGUACAGAGGUAAUUAUAAUGAAAUGCAACCAGAUCUAACACAUUUCUGUUAAAGUUUGGGGCGUAUUUUCAAAGAACUCCAAUGCACCAACGAACCCACAGUGGCCUCCUUCGUGUUGAGCUUGGGAAAGAUGUAUGCUGGAUACGAGACGUGCUAUAUGGUAUUUCCAGUAGAAUGGUGUUAUUCUGCUGAGGAUCAGAAAAGAAGUUAUGUUUACAUUGACAUUUCGAUGAAACAGGCCAAUUUUGCCAUCAUAUGGAAAAUUAAAUAUGGUAAGGGCAAGAGUCACAGCUCCCUUGCUGUUGCAGAAGACAUUGUUUCUCUGCUGCCUGAGAAAAAGCAAUCAGAAGAUGGAGGGUGCAUGAAAGCUGGCACUGGCAGAGACCUGGAUGCAUUGAGACUACAGGGUAUCCAAAAUUACCUUCUUGUGGAUCUUGCAGUGGAAGAAGAUGGCUCUGCACAUAUGCUUGUGUUCCCAAAUAGUCGUGACUGGAAAAAUGUAAUACAAGUAAAUUCUGAAUUCUGAAGCAGAUGUGAAAAAAGUGAUAGAUGAGCAUUUGAAGCCUGCCAAUCCUGUGUUAUAAUAUUAAAACUUGGAUAAAUUUGUAACUUGCAAAAGUAAUAAUUAUCAAUGUUUUUCUUUCUUCUCCCCUUUCUUGGUUCAAUAAAAGCAUUUUGUGGAAAAGAGCUUUUUUUAUUUUCUUCAUAUCAAUCCCAUAAUGUUUUUACUGUGGUAUGCUUAUUAUACAAAUAUGAAAAAACAAUAAAAAGUGAGUCAAACAAUGUGCUAAUAAAUAUAUUUAACACUGAUUAAUUAGAAAAUGCAUAGAAUAUGUAUUUGCUUGAAAAUGUAGCACUUUGGUGAGUUUGUAUUUUAUUAAGUCAAGUGUAUGAUUAUUGAUGAUUUUACGUGAUUUUCUAAUCUCCCACUGAGGCAGUGUCCAGAAAUGUUUUGUGGUAAAAAAUGUUGUGGGAUAUUAAAAAAUCAAUUUAAAAAAAGUUGAAAAAAUUCUCAAAAAUGGGUAAAAGUAUUUUAAAUUUUAGCUUUUUCCAGUGAAAAUUUAUAUCCCACACUAUCUGUCCAAGAAAUAUUAUUGAUGUUUUGGGGUAAAACAAAUGUUGUGGGAGAUGGUGUUUUUUAUGGUUUUCUUUUUUGCUGUUUUUGUACUUUUUGGUGGUUUUGUUUUUGGUGAAAAUUUAUCUCCCCACAAGAUCUGUCCUAGAAAUGUUAUUAAUGUUUUGUGGUUAAAAUGUUGUGGGAGAUUAAUAUUUUUCUAGUUUUUUGUGAUUACACCAAAGGUGCUAGACCCAAAGUCAUUUUGGGGGUAAAAGGUUUAAAAUUUCAGUAUUUUUUGGUGAAAAUUUAUCUCUCACUGAGGUAGUGUCCAGAAAAGUGAAAUUGGGAGAUUUAAAAAAAACUGAUAUUUUGAGUGUUUUUGCUUGAUUUUAAGAUUUUGUUUUUAUAUUUUUUGUUGAAAUUUCAUUUCUCUACUAGAUCUGUCCUAGAAAUGAAAUUGAGAGAUUUUUGGGAGAUUUAAAAAUUGUUGUUUUUGCUUGAUUUUAAGACAUUUUUUGAAUUUUUUGCUGUUUUUUUUAAUGUGGUUUUUGCUGAAAUUUCAUCAAAAUAUUCACUGAUUGUCCACUUAUCAUAAUAUAGUAUUUUCUCUUGUUUCAUUCAAUGGCUUUAUGAAAUUUUCUGUCAAAAUUAUGUCAAACUAGUGAAGAAAUAUUUUUUCAUAAUACUAUAUAUUUUGUUCAAUAGCCACAAUUAAAAAAACUUUCAUGUUAUAAGAGAUAUUUGAUUGAUUUGUGGAUUUGUUUAUUGAUUACAUCAAAAUUGCUUAAUGUAAAGAUUACAUCAAAGUAUUCCCAGGUGGCCGGUUUUACUUUUUUUUGAACAAAAAUAUUUAAAAAUUUUAAACUUAAUUUGUAAUUUCAAAAAUCUCUUUGGAUGUAAUAUUUACCUUCUUUGUUAAUAUUUGCAUUUGACAAAUAAAAAUAGAAAAUAGUUUCCUUUUCAAAUAAAAUGUUCAAUAAUUUAAAAAUUUAAGAGAAUUGAAGAAGUUAUAUAAA